rnacentral:rRNA from 1 species
GAUGAACGCUGGCGGCGUGCCUAAUACAUGCAAGUCGAGCGAACGGACGAGAAGCUUGCUUCUCUGAUGUUAGCGGCGGACGGGUGAGUAACACGUGGAUAACCUACCUAUAAGAAUGGGAUAACUUCGGGAAACCGGAGCUAAUACCGGAUAAUAUUUUGAACCGCAUGGUUCAAAAGUGAAAGACGGUCUUGAUGUCACUUAUAGAUGGAUCCGCGCUGCAUUAGCUAGUUGGUAAGGUAACGGCUUACCAAGGCAACGAUGCAUAGCCGACCUGAGAGGGUGAUCGGCCACACUGGAACUGAGACACGGUCCAGACUCCUACGGGAGGCAGCAGUAGGGAAUCUUCCGCAAUGGGCGAAAGCCUGACGGAGCAACGCCGCGUGAGUGAUGAAGGUCUUCGGAUCGUAAAACUCUGUUAUUAGGGAAGAACAUAUGUGUAAGUAACUGUGCACAUCUUGACGGUACCUAAUCAGAAAGCCACGGCUAACUACGUG